AUUGAACGCUGGCGGCAUGCUUUACACAUGCAAGUCGAACGACCGCGCGGGCUUCGGCCUGGUGGCGCGUGGCGAACGGGUGAGUAAUGCAUCGGAACGUGACCUGCCGUGGGGGCUAGCACGGCGACAGCAGGCCUAAUACCGUAUCGGACCUGAGGGUGAAAGCGGGGGAUCGAAAGUCCUCGCGCGAUUGGAUCGGCCGAUGUCGGAUUAGCUAGUUGGUGGGGUAAAGGCUUACCAAGGCGACGAUCCGUAGCUGGUCUGAGAGGACGACCGGCCACACUGGGACUGAGACACGGCCCAGACUCCUACGGGAGGCAGCAGUAGGGAAUUUUGCACAAUGGGCGCAACCCUGAUCCAGCCAUGCCGCGUGCGGGAAGAAGGCCUUCGGGUUGUAAACCGCUUUUGUUCGGGAAGAAAUCCUCUGGGCUAAUACCCCGGGGGGAUGACGGUACCGGAAGAAAAAGCACCGGCUAACUACGUG
rnacentral:rRNA from 1 species